UACGUAGAAGACGAGUGUUAUUCAUCUUUAACAGGUUUAAAGGGUACCUAGACGGAAAAUCAAGCCAUAGUAGGGACUAAUUUUCUAGAGUUUUAUAGGUGAAGAUCGAAUUACCUGAGGAGCGAUGGAAUGCAUUGAUACAGGUAAGACGGAUAGCAGCGAAGGCAAUCUUCUAUGUAAUAACUGACGUUGAGGGACGAAGCC
rnacentral:rRNA from 1 species